UACGAAGGGGGCUAGCGUUGCUCGGAAUUACUGGGCGUAAAGGGCGCGUAGGCGGCACUGUUAGUCAGGCGUGAAAGUCCUGGGCUCAACCUGGGAACUGCGCUUGAUACGGCAGAGCUAGAGGAUGGAAGAGGCUCGCGGAAUUCCCAGUGUAGAGGUGAAAUUCGUAGAUAUUGGGAAGAACACCGGUGGCGAAGGCGGCGAGCUGGUCCAUUACUGACG
rnacentral:rRNA from 1 species